rnacentral:rRNA from 1 species
GUGCCAGCAGCCGCGGUAAUACGGAGGGUGCAAGCGUUAUCCGGAUUUAUUGGGUUUAAAGGGUCCGUAGGCGGAUCGUUAAGUCAGUGGUGAAAGCCUACCGCUCAACGGUAGAACUGCCAUUGAUACUGGCGAUCUUGAAUAUGUAUGAAGUUGGCGGAAUGUGUGGUGUAGCGGUGAAAUGCUUAGAUAUCACACAGAACACCGAUUGCGAAGGCAGCUGACUAAUACAUGAUUGACGCUGAGGGACGAAAGUGUGGGGAUCAAACAGGAUUAGAUACCCUGGUAGUCCACACCGUAAACGAUGAUUACUAGAUUUUGGUCGCAAGAUCAGAGUCCAAGCGAAAGUGUUUAGUAAUCCACCUGGGGAGUACGUCCGCAAGGAUGAA